AAGGGAUCCUCGGCCAAGAUACAGCUUAGAUGAAUGACUAUCGUCUUCCGACACGCUAGUCGUAAAGUUUGAAAGACAUGAUUAUGCGCGGUCCGAUACCGCUAACUCUUCGUAAAGAGACCGAUCGCCGAGGAGUUAAUGUGACGUCGCGACGCACCGAGCGGCACGCGUCGCGAAUUCGGACGACAGCGCGGCGAGGAGGUUAGGUUAGGUUAACAAACCGCACGUAUGUGCGGUUAUACGCGUGCAAUUAAAACCAACGCCGCGGCGCGCGGCGUCAAGUUUUUCCAUGACCGACCGGUUCUUGAUUUGGCGAUUCGUUGUGUCGCUCGAUCGGCUAUCAAUCCGGUUGAAGAAUUAUAUCCGGAUAGAUGGAAAAUUUGAAAUGCGACGUGAAUCCGAGUGUCGUCGAGGAGAUUCUCGCCCGUGGGCAUCGUGACGGAGAGCAAUUCCUACCUCCCUCACCCCGAGAGCUCCGAUUACUUACUUCCUAUCGCAAGCGAAGCUCUGAAUGUAUUGUGAUGACACACAUGGAGCAGCCACGCGCCUCUAGCCGCCUGCUUGAGUUUCAGCGUACGGAACGAUAGCCGAGGCCGACUUUGUCAAAAUAAACAACACGCCGUACGUCACCAAACAAACGUUGGGCAAUCGAGCAUCAUCAGCCAGUUCGUCGCAGAGUGUCAUCCCAUUAAAAAACGCCACGCUGUAACAUAUAGAGGUAUGCCGAGUAUUCUGCUUUUUGCGUACUUAAUCAUUGAUGUUAGCUGCACCACGGCUCUUUGACUACUUCUACUUGCAUUACUCGAUUUGGCGAUUCAUAUAUUAUUUCGUGCUCUCAAUCCGAUGACGAAUUGCAGCUGAAAAGGUGAAAAAUUCAAAGAAUACUCACGAAUCCAAGCGCAUUAAAGAGAUUCUUGCACGUGGAUAUUGCAAAGCAACUAUUUUAUAAUUUCGAUUUCCUAGCACUUCGAUUUUUAUUUUAAAUACGAAUUUGAAGCAAAAGAGAAAAUAGUUUGUUUUCAGUUAUAUCGUUUUCGUUAUAUCGUACUAUUCAAAACGAGUAAUCUCGUAUCGCGAAACACCGGGACUGUUCCGAUAGCCACACGCGGACCUUCUUUCGACCCUCAGAUGCGCUUUAUUGCAACCGACAGAUUGUUCCGCGUUGGUAGAAACGAAUAAUAAAUCGCGGAAAUUAAAUUACCGCUAUCGAAUAUCGACGCAUCCGCUGCUAUGAACGAUGUACGAAUUACAGCGGUCACGAGAUGACCGUCUUUCUCGUUCUCCAUCUCGGCGCCCUGUUUCAUUCUCAUUAUAAAAAAAAAUUGUAAUUUGAUAUAUUUCUGCGGAUAUGCUUUCCGUAAUUCCGGAGCAUUCGAGCACGUUGACGAAU